rnacentral:rRNA from 1 species
GUGCCAGCCGCCGCGGUAAUACGUAGGGACCAAGCGUUGUUCGGAUUUACUGGGCGUAAAGGGCGCGUAGGCGGCAUAUUAAGUCAGCUGUGAAAUCUCCGAGCUUAACUCGGAACUGUCAGCUGAUACUGAUGUGCUAGAGUGCAGAAGGGGCAAUCGGAAUUCUUGGUGUAGCGGUGAAAUGCGUAGAUAUCAAGAGGAACACCUGAGGUGAAGACGGGUUGCUGGGCUGACACUGACGCUGAGUGCGCGAAAGCCAGGGGAGCAAACGGGAUUAGAUACCCCCGUAGUCC